CAGGUUCUCCCAGGAUCCUUCAGUCCCUACCUUCUAAAGGGAUUCCUCCAUGGUAACUUCCAUGGCCUUAUUCCUUGGGAACUGGGAACCCUCUGAGAACUGUUUGCAUAAGCUUGCAAGUAAAUAUUUACCAUGUCUUCAAUUAGCAAAUAUUACCUGUGGGAAGAAAGAAACAGCAUAACAUUAUAUAAUCAUCACUGGUCAAAAUUUGUCACACUGAAUAAAUAUGUGAAUAUGUUUCCAGUUUUUAUUAAUAAUUUGUGUUUUAACCAUUGUUUUUGAUUUUUCCCUAGCCCCCUAUAUGAGGACUAGGGAAGGUGCAUGGGGGAGAUUGGGAGGCUGGCUGGAAAUGGUCAGAAUUGUAAGUGGAUACAGCCCUGAUACAAAGAAAAUAAACUGUAAUAAACAAAUAGCUUAAUUAAAUGUAUUUUCAUUUUCAAA